UACGAAGGGGGCUAGCGUUGUUCGGAAUUACUGGGCGUAAAGCGCACGUAGGCGGACUGGAAAGUCAGAGGUGAAAUCCCAGGGCUCAACCUUGGAACUGCCUUUGAAACUAUCAGUCUGGAGUUCGAGAGAGGUGAGUGGAAUUCCGAGUGUAGAGGUGAAAUUCGUAGAUAUUCGGAGGAACACCAGUGGCGAAGGCGGCUCACUGGCUCGAUACUGACGCUGAGGUGCGAAAGCGUGGGGAGCAAACAGG
rnacentral:rRNA from 1 species